rnacentral:rRNA from 1 species
CCUUGACUUAGUUGCCAGCAUUCAGUUGGGCACUCUAAGGUGACUGCCGGUGACAAACCGGAGGAAGGUGGGGAUGACGUCAAAUCAUCAUGCCCCUUAUGACCUGGGCUACACACGUGCUACAAUGGACAGAACAAAGGGCUGCAAGACCGCAAGGUUUAGCCAAUCCCAUAAAUCUGUUCUCAGUUCGGAUCGCAGGCUGCAACUCGACUGCGUGAAGCUGGAAUCGCUAGUAAUCGCGGAUCAGCAUGCCGCGGUGAAUACGUUCCCGGGCCUUGUACACACCGCCCGUCACACCACGAGAGUUUGUAACACCCGAAGUCGGUGAAGUAACCUUUAUGAACCCACCCGCCGAGGGUGGGGCAAAUAAUGGGGUU